CUUAACACAUGCAAGUCGAGGGGCAGCGGGGGUAGCAAUACCCGCCGGCGACCGGCGCACGGGUGAGUAACGCGUAUGCAACUUACCUAUCAGAGGGGGAUAACCCGGCGAAAGUCGGACUAAUACCGCAUGAAGCAGGGGCCCCGCAUGGGGAUAUUUGCUAAAGAUUCAUCGCUGAUAGAUAGGCAUGCGUUCCAUUAGGCAGUUGGCGGGGUAACGGCCCACCAAACCGACGAUGGAUAGGGGUUCUGAGAGGAAGGUCCCCCACAUUGGUACUGAGACACGGACCAAACUCCUACGGGAGGCAGCAGUGAGGAAUAUUGGUCAAUGGCCGAGAGGCUGAACCAGCCAAGUCGCGUGAGGGAUGAAGGUUCUAUGGAUCGUAAACCUCUUUUAUAAGGGAAUAAAGUGCGGGACGUGUCCCGUUUUGUAUGUACCUUAUGAAUAAGGAUCGGCUAACUCCGUGCCAGCAGCCGCGGUAAUACGGAGGAUCCGAGCGUUAUCCGGAUUUAUUGGGUUUAAAGGGUGCGUAGGCGGCCUUUUAAGUCAGCGGUGAAAGUCUGUGGCUCAACCAUAGAAUUGCCGUUGAAACUGGGGGGCUUGAGUAUGUUUGAGGCAGGCGGAAUGCGUGGUGUAGCGGUGAAAUGCAUAGAUAUCACGCAGAACCCCGAUUGCGAAGGCAGCCUGCCAAGCCAUUACUGACGCUGAUGCACGAAAGCGUGGGGAUCAAACAGGAUUAGAUACCCUGGUAGUCCACGCAGUAAACGAUGAUCACUAGCUGUUUGCGAUACACUGUAAGCGGCACAGCGAAAGCGUUAAGUGAUCCACCUGGGGAGUACGCCGGCAACGGUGAAACUCAAAGGAAUUGACGGGGGCCCGCACAAGCGGAGGAACAUGUGGUUUAAUUCGAUGAUACGCGAGGAACCUUACCCGGGUUUGAACGCAUUCGGACCGAGGUGGAAACACCUUUUCUAGCAAUAGCCGUUUGCGAGGUGCUGCAUGGUUGUCGUCAGCUCGUGCCGUGAGGUGUCGGCUUAAGUGCCAUAACGAGCGCAACCCUUGCCACUAGUUACUAACAGGUAAAGCUGAGGACUCUGGUGGGACUGCCAGCGUAAGCUGCGAGGAAGGCGGGGAUGACGUCAAAUCAGCACGGCCCUUACAUCCGGGGCGACACACGUGUUACAAUGGCGUGGACAAAGGGAGGCCACCUGGCGACAGGGAGCGAAUCCCCAAACCACGUCUCAGUUCGGAUCGGAGUCUGCAACCCGACUCCGUGAAGCUGGAUUCGCUAGUAAUCGCGCAUCAGCCAUGGCGCGGUGAAUACGUUCCCGGGCCUUGUACACACCGCCCGUCAAGCCAUGGGAGCCGGGGGUACCUGAAGUCCGUAACCGAAAGGAUCGGCCUAGGGUAAAACUGGUGACUGGGGCUAAGUCAUAAC
rnacentral:rRNA from 1 species